GAAAUGCGAUAAGUAGUGUGAAUUGCAGAAUUCAGUGAAUCAUCGAAUCUUUGAACGCACAUUGCGCCCCUUGGUAUUCCGGGGGGCAUGCCUGUUCGAGCGUCAUCUACACCCUCACGCUCUGCUUGGUGUUGGGCGUCUGUCCCGCCUCCGCGCGCGGACUCGCCCCAAAUCCAUUGGCAGCGGUCCUUGCCUCCUCUCGCGCAGCACAUUGCGCUUCUCGAGGGGCUCCGGCCCGCGUCCAACAAGAAAACAUUACCGUCUUUGACCUCGGAUCAGGUAGGGAUACCCGCUGAACUUAAGC
rnacentral:misc_RNA from 1 species